GGUAGUAUAGCUCAGUAGGUAGAGCGCAGAUAUGCAUACGUGAUGAUACAUGUAUGCAGCUCUUUAGUCACAAGUUCGAGUCUUGUUACUACCA
rnacentral:tRNA from 1 species